GGGCUUGUAGCUCAGUUGGAGUAGAGCACGUGGUUACGAACCACGGUGUCGGGGGUUCGAGUCCCUCCAAGCUCA
rnacentral:tRNA from 2 species